rnacentral:rRNA from 1 species
UUCGGGCAAAUGAAAUAUAAACUUAGUGGCGGACGGGUGAGUAACGUGUGGGUAACCUACCCUAUACAGGAGGAUAACAGUAAGAAAUUAUUGCUAAAACUGCAUAAGAUUACGAGUUCGCAUGAACAAGUGAUAAAAACUUUAGUGGUAUAGGAUGGGCCCGCAUCUGAUUAGGUAGUUGGUGGAGUAAAAGCCUACCAAGCCGACGAUCAGUAGCCGAUCUGAGAGGAUGACCGGCCACAUUGGGACUGAGACACGGCCCAAACUCCUACGGGAGGCAGCAGUGGGGAAUAUUGGACAAUGGGGGAAACCCUGAUCCAGCGACGCCGCGUGAGUGAAGAAGUAUUUCGGUAUGUAAAGCUCUAUCAGCAGGGAAGAAAAUGACGGUACCUGACUAAGAAGCCCCGGCUAACUACGUGCCAGCAGCCGCGGUAAUACGUAGGGGGCAAGCGUUAUCCGGAUUUACUGGGUGUAAAGGGAGCGUAGACGGCGAUGUAAGUCUGAAGUGAAAGCCCACGGCUCAACUGUGGGACUGCUUUGGAAACUAUGUAGCUAGAGUAUCGGAGGGGCAAGCGGAAUUCCUAGUGUAGCGGUGAAAUGCGUAGAUAUUAGGAGGAACACCGGAGGCGAAGGCGGCUUGCUGGACGAAGACUGACGUUGAGGCUCGAAGGCGUGGGGAGCAAACAGGAUUAGAUACCCUGGUAGUCCACGCAGUAAACGAUGAAUACUAGAUGUCGGAGAGGUUACUUUUCGGUG